rnacentral:rRNA from 1 species
GAGUUUGAUCCUGGCUCAGAACGAACGCUGGCGGCGUGCCUAACACAUGCAAGUCGAACGUGAUCCAGAGCUUGCUCUGGUGAAAGUGGCGCACGGGUGAGUAACGCGUGGAUAACCUACCCUGGUAUCCGGGAUAACAUUCCGAAAGGGGUGCUAAUACCGGAUAAGCCCACGGGCUCUUUGGAGCUUGCGGGAAAAGGUGGCCUCUAUUUAUAAGCUACUGUAUCAGGAUGGGUCCGCGUACCAUUAGCUAGUUGGCGGUGUAACGGACCACCAAGGCRACGAUGGUUAGCUGGUCUGAGAGGAUGAUCAGCACACUGGAACUGAGACACGGUCCAGACUCCUACGGGAGGCAGCAGUGGGGAAUUUUGCGCAAUGGGGGAAACCCUGACGCAGCAACGCCGCGUGAGUGAUGAAGGCCUUUGGGUCGUAAAGCUCUGUCAGGGGGGAAGAAAUGAUAUAGUGCUAAUACCACUUUAUCUUGACGGUACCCUCAAAGGAAGCACCGGCUAACUCCGUGCCAGCAGCCGCGGUAAUAC